CAUUAGAUAGCUUAAAGUAAGCAACGGUCUCUUAAACCGCACUAUAGAAUAUUAACGACUUCUUUUAAUG
rnacentral:tRNA from 2 species